rnacentral:rRNA from 1 species
UGAGUAAUACAUCGGAACGUGUCUUUUAGUGGGGGAUAACUGCCCGAAAGGGCAGCUAAUACCGCAUGAGACCUGAGGGUGAAAGCGGGGGAUCGCAAGACCUCGCGCUGGAAGAGCGGCCGAUGUCCGAUUAGCUAGUUGGUGAGGUAAAGGCUCACCAAGGCGACGAUCGGUAGCUGGUCUGAGAGGACGACCAGCCACACUGGGACUGAGACACGGCCCAG